GGGUGUAGGAAUAUUGACAGGAUCUGUCCCUAGUACGAGAGGACCGGGAUGGACAUAUCUCUGGUGGACCUGUUGUCCUGCCAAGGGCAUAGCAGGGUAGCUAUAUAUGGAAUGGAUAACCGCUGAAGGCAUCUAAGCGGGAAACCAACCUGGAAACGAGUGUUCCCUAUCAGAGCCGUGGAAGACGACCACGUUGAUAGGCCGGGUGUGGAAGUGCGGCAACGCAUGAAGCUUACCGGUACUAAUAGCUCGAUUGGCUUGAUCGU
rnacentral:rRNA from 1 species